rnacentral:misc_RNA from 1 species
CAGUCAAAUUGGGCAGGCUUG